AUUGGAUAUGUUAUUCAGCUACAUAAACGUUCCAAACACUGCAUCAUCUCUUCUCCUCCUUCCCCAAAACACCACAUCAUCUCUUCUUCCCCCAAAACCCUUUCUAUUCUCUCUGUCAACACAAAGAACCUAUAGAAACGUCCAUCGUUGCCGACGAAGACGAUGAGGAAUCAAAGCGAUGAUGGUUGUGUUCUUCAUUUCUGCGACAAUCGUAGCUGUUUUUUUGCCGCGUGUAUGUCCUUCCCAUGCGUCUUUCUAUUUGUUAGACACGUUUUGUUUUUGAGUUUUUGUUUGGUACAUGGUUUUGAUUUUGAGUGAUGACCAUUAAUGGUGAUGGUGUGGAUGAAGGACGACACCACGGUGAUGUUGGGGGCCAGCUUGAAACCCUAAGUCAAACCUAAACAGAACGGUUCAGACCAUCUUCCUCUCCGGUAACACCGUUUUCUUCUCCGGCCAGACCAUUAUUAUACCAUAUGACGAAAGCGGGGGCUAGGGUUUCACCAGAAAACACGACGGGCAUCAAUCGCCUAGGAGUAAUUGAUCGGCAGGUCGAGUGAAAACGGAGUGAAAACAAUGGCAGCAAAGCAAAUUGAAUGAUCGCUGAUACAAUUGAGGACUAAGAUGAAUACAUCAUCUGGUAGUCUCAUGAAGAGAUGGAAUGCAUUCAAGGCUAGACCAGCUGCAUCCGCCUGUCUCAUACUUUAUCAAUGUGGUUUCCAACCUCAGAUGACUAGAAGAGAAGUUGCCCUUAGUCAUGGAGUCAAGUAUGCUACACAAAUCUUUUUGGCUGUUGCGUUCAUUCAUAUGAAUCAAGGGCGUUUGGAACUGUGAAUACAAGUUUGUUGUAUCAAAUUUUCAGGUCAGUUAAACACUUUGAUGGAUAUUUUGUUUACGAAGAUCUCGAAAUGAUCAACUCUGAGAUUAAGACAACUGAUCUCGGGACUAAUGUACCCGGCACAACCGCAUUUCACAAACAGCCGGUUUUCGCAGCCAGAAAAGUAGCAUUAAGAGAGGUGCAACAGAACAAUAAUAACAACAUAACACGCGACACCCAUUCGGAACGUUUACUUCCAGUCGACGGACAACUGUUUGCAGACGCAUCUAAAACAUGCGGUACUAAAAUGGCUACACCUGACUAUGCGCCAUCUCCUAUCUUGACCAAUAAUGGCGCACAUGAGCAUUUUAAUCUCCUGCGUAGUAAACAUGAAGGAUACCAUGGGAAAAACGUUGGUUAUUCACAAUCUGCAAGUGUACCUCAUAUUAAACAAGAAAUGAGCCAGAUUAAUGGGAAUAAUAUGCGUUACGGUUCUUUAGUGGUGUCGAACCAAAUGGCUUCGAAGGUGUCUGUUUCUCGGUUUAAAGAGUAUAAUGAGGAACAGAGGGCUGACCGAUUGGUAAAUUUGCAUAAUUUUAUCAAUCAAUGUGAUGGGUCGGAGUAUAGAGAUAAUAUUCAAUUGCUCUUGCGUUUAUCGCCUUUGGAGCUUAGUAGAUACGCAGUUGAGUUAGAGAAAAGAGCGAUUCAGUUAACCAUAGAAGAAGCGCGCAAAUCCUUCAUAUAAAGUCGACAAAUGUUAACUUUAUUUGCUUUUAAACGGUGUGCAUGUGUUCUCUUAACUCCACUUUUAUAUCUGGAACCGAUAACUGUGUUAAGACAUUUUAAUGUAUGUGGUAAACAUUUGUGCGGGCGAUAAAGGAGAUGAACACGAGACUGAGAAUCGGAAAUGCCCAAAACUUGGGUUUAAGGUCAAGGACGUGGUGAAUAUAACUGAAGUUUUUCUGGGUGUUUGGAUUUAUGCCCCUUGCCUUGCUAACAUCAAAGACAUGGCCUUUGGUUGUGGACAUCAGGUGGAAAGCUUUUUAAAUUGUGCUGCUUUAAAGCGGAGAGCGUGAUGAAUGAAGAAGCUGAAAAGAAAGUCUUUUAAAAGCCGCCGACAAUGAAGAACAGGUAGGUUGAACCCAAAAUAGGCCCUCGUCCAUCUUUUGCGCAACUUGUCUACAUAUCACUCUACGUGUUAGUAUGCUAAGUUAUGAUAAAUUACCUUUCAUAUAUAAGUUAGGCGAUGCAGCUAUGGAACGUCGAUGUAACAAAUACUUGGUGUUAUUUAGUACGGCUAUGAAUGGAUCCCGCCGCAUUGCGGCGGGUGAUAAAUCCUAGUUUUUACUAAACGUCAAUGGUUAUUGUUAGUCUCGUUUUUUUUUUUUUCUGACAGUCCCACCUUUCAACAAUUUUUUAUCCAUCGGUCUUCAGUUAAAAAAAACUUAACUCUGUUAAGUUUUUUUUUUCUUUUUUCGAAUUACAAACUAAUGUUUUAGGAUUUUUAAUCAGAACGAGGAUACGAAUCUAUUAAUAUAAAACUUACCUCGAAACGGUGCUUCAAACGACUUGUUUUUUGUUAAUUGGAAGUUUAAACACCUGAAUUGAAGCACCGUUCUCGUCGUUUGGAGCACAAUUUCAAUGUAAGUUUUACAUCAUUCGACUUGUAUACUCGUUCUGAUCAAAAGCCCUAAAAUGUCAGUUUGUAAUUCGAAAAAAAAAAACUUAAUGGAGUUAAGUUUUUUUAAAUGAGGACCGGUGGAGGAAAAAUAGUUGAAAGGUGGGACUGUGAGGGGGAAUAAAAAAAGAUGAGACUGGUAAUGACUAAUGACGUCUAGUAAAGAUUAUUAGAGGCCAAUAUCACUAUUUUUUUAAUAUCAUAUGACUAGUCAUUUUUUACAAUCCAAUAAAUCAUUAUAACAA